rnacentral:rRNA from 1 species
UACGAAGGGGGCUAGCGUUGCUCGGAAUCACUGGGCGUAAAGGGUGCGUAGGCGGGUCUUUAAGUCAGGGGUGAAAUCCUGGAGCUCAACUCCAGAACUGCCUUUGAUACUGAGGAUCUUGAGUUCGGGAGAGGUGAGUGGAACUGCGAGUGUAGAGGUGAAAUUCGUAGAUAUUCGCAAGAACACCAGUGGCGAAGGCGGCCAACUGGGCCAUUACUGACGCUGAGGCGCGAAAGCGUGGGGAGCAAACAGG